UAAAAUACCCAUUUCAAAUUUGUCUGGCAAAUGAGAGAAUCAGUAGUUUGCCAGUAUUUUUCAUUACUUUUCUUAGAAUUGUUUUUCCUUUACACAUUUAUAGUGCAAAAUAGCUCAGUGGUGCAGACUCAUACUAAGCUGAUCAACUUGCAUUUUGGUCUUCAUGGGAUUUACACAUUUUUUCACUCAACAUUUAUUAAAGGAACAAACAACAUUUUGGGCUAUACCAAACAUACCUUUAGCUUGACUAAGGGCUGAAUUUCAUAAAGGAACAAAAUAUAGAAUUCAUUUUCACAUACUUUAAAGUGUGACUCAUCCCUGUUGAACUUGUGAGACUCAAAGCUACGCCCAUGUCACUUAAUUUUAUGUCCUUCCCUGUUUACUGUGUCUGACCUUCAAGAUUUCGUGACUGAUGCUGAAAUGGAAGCCAGCCAUGCAGAAAUGUGGGGGAAAAUGAAUCUGAAGAAUGCACGGGGAAGUAGGAAUUCAUUUCUAGCGUUCCCAAACCUGCUUUGUCACGUCAGCUUCACUGCAGUCAGAGGAAAAGAACUGAGUUCAUGGAGAUUACCAACUAAACCUUACGUCUGUCCUUAAUGUUUUUAGGAAAUGUGCUGAAAAGGUAAGUGAGAUACCUGAUUUGAAGGAAGACUGUAUUAGGUAUUUUUAGAUGUGUUAGUAAAAAUGGAUGGCUUCUUUAUUCGGAGCUUCAGGAACCUUGCCCCCGUUUGGUGCGGUUCUCAGUGGUUGUGGAGAAGGUGGAGUUGUUCCAGCCAGCGUGAAGCUUUCCUCUACUUCCUGGCAGUCACGCUGGAACUGGCACUGAAGUGUACAGAAUGCCGGUUUUUGUUGCUUUGUCCUCAACUCCUCUCAAAAUAUUUUCAGUCGAGUUUUAAUUUUACCCCUUAAACUAUAUAGAAAAAUCUUUAAAAUGCUUCUAAGUUCCUACCAGAACUAUAUUUGCAUUGUAUAUAGUCAAACAAGAAUAAAAUAAUGGGUUUUAUAGGUCUCUGUUAACCUCACCUACAUUGAUUUUAUAGAUAAUUUUAAAAUUACUGAGGUUACAUUGUUCCACGUUUAUUAAAUCUCUGUGUAAAUUAGCCUUAUGCCAGACCCGGAGUAAAACGAUGGAAUAGCACACAGUUCAAGUACUCAGUAAAUUCAUCUUUAUUGAUAAAAUAGUUAGAAUUUUAGUUUUGGGAAUCCGAAUCUAAUAAAAUGAGACUUAAUUCCAUUUCCCAAUCAAAAAUCAUCUGUAGCUUGCAAUUUAAAUAUGACAAAUUGUAUUUGAAAGAUCCAGCGUUUAUGUUUGAGAGAG
rnacentral:lncRNA from 1 species